GAGCAGUGAGGGGUCAGAGAGAGAGGGAGACACAGAAUCGGAAGCAGGCUCCAGGCUCGGAGCUGUCAGCACAGAGCCCGACGCGGGGCUCGAACUCACGAACUGCGAGAUCAUCACCUGAGCCGAAAUCGGAUGCUUAACCGACUGAGCCCCCCAGGCACCCCGACACUCCUUUGCAAAGGUGGAGCCUAAUUCUCUUCCCUGUGAGUGUGGGCUGGACCGAGUGAGGUGUUUCUUACAAACAAAAUAUGGCAGAACCGAUUGUGUCCAACACUCUGAGACUCGGUCACAAAAGUCACCGUGGCCUCCCUGCUCUCUCAGAUCACUCGCUCUGGAGGAAGCCAGCUGCCGUGUUUCAAGAACACCCAAGGAGCCCAGGUGGCGAGGAACUGAAGCCUCCAGCCAAGAGCCAUGUGGGCGGGGCUUCUCCAGUCAUCACAAUUCCGUGUUGAGAGGCUCUCUCUCUGCCUGCCGUGUGGACAAUGGACGAAACGGCAGAGGUGAACGUACGCCCCCUUGGGAAGCAGCCACUGCAGUCAUCCACGACCCGAGGAGGGUGAGAGGUGCUGACUGGUAUGUCUGGAAGGCUUCCUGAAAGAGGAGGUAUGGAUGAUGUGGCUUUGAAGAAGACAGAAGCCAAAGAUCUGAGAAGUGGGAGAAGAGUAAGAAUCUGGCGUGACAUCAGGGAAGUCGUUCCUUCGUUCCUGGCCGCGCGGAGCCUGGUGGGCCAGGAACGUGCUCCCGACCCAUGCAGGAGGCUUGCACGAAGUAGGAGACGUGGCCAAUUUUGCUGGCGAAGGUAGAAGGAAGCCUGGGA